rnacentral:rRNA from 1 species
UGCCUGCAGCUCGAGUGGUAACCGCUAUUAUUGGGCCUAAAGCGUCCGUAGCCGGUUUGGUAAAUAUCUGGGUAAAUCGUGAGGCUUAACUUCACGAAUUUCGGAUAGACUGCCAGACUUGGGAUCGGGGGAGGUCAGAGGUACUCCAGGGGUAGCGGUGAAAUGUUGUAAUCCUUGGAGGACCACCGGUAGCGAAGGCGUCUGACUAGAACGAGUCCGACGGUGAGGGACGAAGCCCUGGGGCGCAAACCGGGAUUAGAUACCCGGGUAGUCCAGGGUGUAAACUAUGUGGGCUUUGUAUUGGAGGUCCCACGUGGGCGUCCAGUGCAGAAGAGAAGUUGUUAAGCCCACCGCCUGGGAAGUACGGUCGCAAGGCUGAAACUUAAAGGAAUUGGCGGGGGAGCCCAGCAACGGGAGGAGCGUGCGGUUC